CCGAUCUGAGCCAAUGCAAGGCCGAGCUCUAGAAGGCCAUGGAUGAAUGGAAGGCUCUGAAACUACUUUGCAGUUAGAAGAAGGAGGAACUCAAGGACCUUCAGGCAGACUUGGUCAAGGCUAGUAAAAAUGAGGCCGAGCUAGACAAGCAGCUGCAGCAAAAACUGGAGAUGAUGAGGCAGCUUCGAGGAGAGAUCAAUCAGGUAAAUGCCGACUGAUCGGUGGAAGGAAAAUAUGGACCGCCUGGCUGCGGAGAACGAGGCUGCGCUAGCCAAACUAGCAUCGACUGGGACCCAGCUCCGGGUUGCUAAAGAGAAAAAUUCGGCCCAGGUCAAGAGGAUUGACGAACUCGAGGUCAAACUUGCCGAAGCCAGAAUGAAGGUCGCUGAGGCCAGGGUAGAGGUCGAGAAGACGAAUGCCACGACUGAUAAACCGUUGCCGUGUACUUAAGGGAUGCUGAGGAUGCUCAAGCGGAGCUAAGGUAAGCCUCCACGUACUUAAGGGAUGCUGAGGAUGAUCAAGCGGAGCUAAGGUAAGCCUCCGACAGGGAAAAUAGAGUAAUGAUUUGUCCAAGUGCCAAUCCCGGAGGGAGACCCUCGAAGAAAUCCAUGCUCGAGGCUUCGAUCUCACUGAAGAUAUAACUCAAGCGAAGGUGCUUAAAAGCGAUGCCAGAUUCCUCGUCUCCUCCUCCUCUGAUGAUGAUGAUGAAAGCAGCUAAGGCGGGUCCAACAAUGAUGAGGAAGUUGCUCCUGAGGGAGAAACCAACCCCGAGCAUAGUUAGGAAUUUUUUCUCUCUUUUUGUAUUUUUCUUUUUGUAAGACCUCUUGUCGCUCCCUUAUACAUAUAUUUUUCAAGUAAUAAAAGAAAAAAUUUCCUUGAA